rnacentral:rRNA from 1 species
UAGUCUGGGAUACCACUUGGAAACAGGUGCUAAUACCGGAUAAGAAAGCGGAUCGCAUGAUCAGCUUUUAAAAGGCGGCGUAAGCUGUCGCUAUGGGAUGGCCCCGCGGUGCAUUAGCUAGUUGGUAAGGUAAAGGCUUACCAAGGCGAUGAUGCAUAGCCGAGUUGAGAGACUGAUCGGCCACAUUGGGACUGAGACACGGCCCAAACUCCUACGGGAGGCAGCAGCG